GGGGCCGUAGCUCAGUAGCAGAGUGCUUGUCUUAUAUGUUCAAGGCUCUGGGUUCAAUCCCCAGCACCACCA
rnacentral:tRNA from 1 species